AUACGGAGGAUGCGAGCGUUAUCCGGAUUUAUUGGGUUUAAAGGGUGCGUAGGUUGUGGAUUAAGUCAGCGGUGAAAGUUUGUCACUUAACGAUAAAAUUGCCGUUGAAACUGGUUUACUUGAGUGUAAUAGAAGUAGGCGGAAUGCGUGGUGUAGCGGUGAAAUGCAUAGAUAUCACGCAGAACUCCGAUAGCGAAGGCAGCUUACUAAGUUAUAACAGACACUGAAGCACGAAAGCGUGGGUAUCAAACAGGAUUAGAUACCCUGGUAGUCCACGCAGUAAACGAUGAUUACUAGCUGUUUGCGAUAUAGUGUAAGUGGCAAAGCGAAAGCGUUAAGUAAUCCACCUGGGGAGUACGCCGGCAACGGUGAA
rnacentral:rRNA from 1 species